rnacentral:rRNA from 1 species
AGUGAACGUUGGCGGCGUGGAUUAGGCAUGCAAGUCGAGCGAGAACCGUAGCAAUACGGGGACAGCGGCGAAAGGGACAGUAAUGUGUAGGUACCUACCCCGAGGUCUGAGAUAGCUGCGGGAAACUGCAGGUAAUACCGGAUAAUGUCUUCGGACCAAAGGUGUGAUUCCACCUAGGGAGGGGCCUGCAUCCUAUUAGCUAGUAGGCGGGGUAAUGGCCCACCAAGGCGACGAUGGGUAGCGGGUGUGAGAGCACGACCCGCGUCAUUGGGACUGAGGCACUGCCCAGACACCUACGGGUGGCUGCAGUCGAGGAUCUUCGGCAAUGGGCGACAGCCUGACCGAGCGACGCCGCGUGCGGGAUGAAGGCCUUCGGGUUGUAAACCGCUGUCGUAGAGGAGGAAAUGCAGGUGGGUUUUCCCAUCUGUUUGACCUAUUCUAGGAGGAAGUACGGGCUAAGUUCGUGCCAGCCGCCGCAGUAA